CAAAAAAGGUUGGGGACCCCGCUGUAAAGCAUUACACUGACCGCUGUGGUUCCGUGCCGUCUCUCUCCAUGCCACCCAACCCAUGAAGAUUUACCACUACCUCUGCUCCGUUCACCACCCUUGAAGCAUCUCCCUGCCCAAGGUAAUACCCAAACUUAGAAGCUCCCAACUGAUCCCAAUACCCAAACAUCUCAAGUUCAAAAUCAAACUAAGUAUGUGUCACCAUAUUCAACCCUGAGAUUCAACCCUUGCGGGCAUACUCAGUAAAUCCAUAAUAGAAUCACUGAAAGACCAGACCAACUUUGGUGUUAAACCACUGUGCAAAAGACAAUAAACUAAAAGAAAGAAAUAAUAGUAAAAAAAAUAAGCAAUAAAUCUCGAGAACAUGAGAUGAAGAGUUGUUGAAAUAAUUUAUAGAUUGUGGGAAAAUUUCAGUAAUGGGGCAAGCGAAGUUGAGUUAAGUCACCUCCUUUGGCCAAGAGCCUGAUGGCUGAGGGUUAAUAACUGUUCCUGACCUGGUGGUGAGGGUCCUGGAUGUAAAUGUCCAUCAGUGUAUUUUUCCACUCUCUUCCACCUUCCUUUCAACUUUUAAUCCCAGUCUCUAUUGAAAAUACCCACAUAAUCUAAUUUCAGACAACCAGAUCACACUGUAUUAAAAAACAAGGCGCGUGAUCUAGACCAUAAGACGUACGAGCAGAAUUAAGCUAUUCAGCCUAUCAAAUCUGCUCUGCAACUAGACUCUCUAACUAUGAUUCAGCAACUGAAGGCUCACUGGGCAGCCCAUCAAUGCUCUACCAUUGGUUACUUUGCGAAUUGAAUCGUUGGAGCAAAGUAACAAAGGCAUCAGUGCAAGUUCUGGCAUUUAGCAGAGGAUAUUUUAGAGUGUGUCCUACAGAGAGUGUAGAGCGAUUUAUCUGGACUAGAGAGCAUGUCCUAUGAGGAUAGGUUGAAUUAUGAGGAAGAUCCCAGUUAAUCUUUUAGCGCAUGAAAGAUCUGUCCUAGAGGUCGUGGGUUGAAAGGCCUACACUGUGCUGUAAUGUUCUAUAUUUUAAUUCAUCUGGGUUGAUAUCUUAUACCCAUUAACUCUGCGUUGUUCCCAUUCCUCUCAGAACUCCUAACCCCAUUCUUUUUCUAAUGACCUUAAUUUAGAAAAUUGCGCCAGUACAUAAUUCCCUCAAGCCUGUCUCACCACAUGCUGGAUGAUUCACACAACCAGUCCAAUGCUUUUCUCUGCUGUCCUCUCACAUCAUACUCUGCUCACCUGUCAGGCCCUGGGCACUAAGCCCUAAUUAAGAUGCAGAUGUUACUCGAUGUGCCGGGUGCUCCUCAUCUCACUUUGGACGUCUAGUCAUGUUACAGUCCCCACCCUAUUCAAAUUCACAGUAGAGUCAAGUUGGCGUGUGGCCAAGUGGUUAAGGCAUUGGUCCAGUGACCUGAAGGUCGCUAGUUCGAGCCUCAGCUGAGGCAACCUGAUGUGUCCUCGAGCAAGGCACUUAACCACACAUUGAUCUGCGACAACAUCAGUGCCAAGCUGUAUCGGCCCUAGUGCCCUUCCCUUGGACAACAUCGGUGGCGUGGAGAGGGGAGACUUGCAGCAUGGGCAACUGCCGGUCUUCCAUACAACCUUGCCUAGGCCUGCGCCCUGGAAAGAUUAACGGAUGCCUAUAGAGUCAAGUUGAUAAGAGUACUGUGUUCAGUUCAGGUCACCUCAUUAUAGGAAGGACGUGGAAGUUUUAGAGAGGGUAUAGAUGAGAUUUAUCAGGAUGUGCAUGGAUUACAGAACAUCUCUUAUAAGGAUAGGUUGAGCUUUUCUCUUUAGAGCAAAGGAGAAUGAGAGAUUACUUUACAGAGGUUUAUAAGAUAAUAGGUCGAGUGGACAGCCAGUGACUUUCACCCAGGGCAGAAAUGGCUAAUACAAGGAGGAAUAACCCUAAUACUGUACGUAGGGAGGAAAAUGUAGCAGGAAUGUCAGGGCAGGUUGGUGUUUGGUUGUUUGUUUGUUGUUUUUUUUUAAAAACACAGAGUGGUGAUGCAUAGAUACUCAACCAAGGGUGGUGGUAGAGGCAAAUAUACUGGGGACACACAAGAGACUCUUAAGAUAGAGACAUGGAUGAAAGAAAAGUGUAGGGCUACGUGGGAGGGAAGGGUUGCAUUGAUCUUAGAGUAGGUUAAGGAUCAGCAUAUCGUGGGCCCAAGGGCGUGUACCAUCCAUGUUCUAUCAUAUCACAUGGAACAGGGCAUUUCGACUAUUCCAGUCCACAGUAACCAUCAAACACCACGCCCAAAAUCUACCCCUCAUCCACACACUAGUGGCAACUUAAAUCAGAAAUAUCCUACCGACCUGCACGCCAUUGGAACAUGGAAGGAGACGGGAGCUCCUGCAGAAGCCACUUGCUGCUAUAGGGAGAAGGUGCAAACUCCAUGAACAGAUAGCACCAGAGUUCAGGAUUGAACCUGCGUCACCAGAGAUGUGAGGCAGCGGUUCUACCAGCUCUGUCAAAGCACCACUUCCCUCAGACCCUCCUCCAGCCUCAAUGACAGACAUUCACUUCGCACUUCGUGUGCUGUCUGUGUAGUCUGCAGGUUCUCGCAGUAAGAACUGCAAGUGUUCCAGUGCAGGAGUAAUCCCAUGAUCUCUUUCAUUCCUGGAAUCAUUCUUGUAAACCUACUUUGGAUCCUCUCCAAAGCCCACACAUCCUUUCCAAGGACUGCUCCCAAUACUCCACAUGUGGUUUGACCAAUGCCUUAUCAAUUCCCUUGCUUUUAUAAUCUAGUCCUUUCAAAAUGAAUGCUAACAUGGCAUUUGCCUUCCUUACCAUCACGUUAGCCAUUAGGGAAUUCUGCAGUAGGACCCCCAAGUUCCUUUGCACCUCUGAUUUCUGAAUUUUGUUUCAGUUUAGAAAAAAGUGUACACCUUUAUUUCAUCUGCCAAAGUGCAUAACCUUACACUUUCGUACAGUAGUAUACCAUCUGCCACUUCUUUGCCCAUUCUCCCAAUCUGUCUAAGUCCUUAUGUACACUCCCUGCUUUUUUAACACUCCCUGCCUCUGCGGGGAAGAGUGGGAAACGGGAUUGUUGAGAGCCAAUACAGUCAAAUAGGCUCAAUGGCCUAUCUUUUCUUCCCCUAAAUUUGGUCUCGCAGUCCUCCCUCUAGUUUCCCAAACUCAGCCUCUGGCUGCCAGGGGCCCCUGAGCUCCAGAUUUCCUACGUUAAACACCUCUGGUCCUCGUCCUCCUCCUUUAAGACAAUUUAAUACCCAACAAAUGACCAGAAUGCUGAAUGAUAUUGGUAUCAGUGCAUAUAAAAAGAAACUUGACCCAAAAGACUUCAAAUGCUGAUAUCUGGAGUACCAAUAAAGACCCUGGAGUAACUCAGCAGAUCAGGGAGCAUCCGUCGGGGGAAAUUAGCAGUUGAUGUUUCGGGUAGAGACCCUUUACCUGGGCUGGGUCAAGCACAUCAGGGAAGAUCAAAUAAUUAAACUUUUCAGGUCAAAGACUGUUCAGUAAAGAGCUCCAGACCUGAAACAUUAAAUGCUGCCCAACCUGCUGAUCGUUUGCAACGUUUGUUUUGAUUUCAGAUUUCCAGCAACUGCAGUCACACCUUCACCAUGUGAAGGAUGCGCCAGCCUGUUACCCCACUCUUCAAGGCUCGUUGCCAGUGUGUUAUUUUAGAUUUUGAAAGCUCCUACGAAGAAAUACUAGCAACACUGUAAAGAGUUUGUAUAUUGCCCCGCCACCAAAUUUCCUGCUUCGCACGCCCGCCCGCCUCCCGCCGCGCCGACGGACAGCGGGUGCAACCAAUGGCAAGAGCGGGAACCCGCCCACCUAACCAAUCAGUGGCCCGCUGAGGGAGGAAGCGGCGGGACCUGGGAGGCCGCGAUGUGAUGGCCGCGCUCCACCUCCUCCUCCGCGCCGUGAGCAGACAGAAAAGCCGCAGUAACGGCGACUUGGCUCUCUAUAGGGCAGGGGCAGAGGGUAGCCGAGCCCCCCGGGGGUGAAGCCCCGGUUUCUCGCGGCAUUCACAGAAAAUGCAAGAAAGACCACAAACAACAGAGUAGACAACAACUAAUGUGCAAAAAAACCAACAAAACUGUAAAUACAAAAAACUAAGAAAAAAAGAAAUAAUAGUAAAUAAAUAAGGGAUAAAUAUUGAGAAAAAGAGAUGAAGAUUCCUUGAAAGUGAAUCCAUUGGUUGUGGGAACACUUCAGUGAUGAGGGGCCAUUUACAAUUCUGAUUUGAUGGAGAAUGGACGUGAAAGCACAGAGGAACAUCUGGAGAAAUUUCUGAAACGCUUGUUCGCUGCUGUCGUUACUGCGUGGUCGGGAAGCUUUCGGAGGGUAGGCCUCAAAAUCCCCGGCCUUGCCUGCUUUUGGUGACUGAGAAGGAGGUCGAAUUGUUCGGACAGAGAUGGCGCUCAGUACUCGGUGUCGGAGAGCUGAUCAGAGCUCGAAGUUUUUGGAUGACUCAGAGUCAGACUGUGGUCAGGUAUGGCAGGGAGAGUUUUUCUUCCUUCUCCCGUCUGCGUGAGAUGUGGGACAUUUGAGAAACUUUGAACUUUACUGUGCUCAUGGACUUCUUCAUCAAGUUAUGGUAUUGUUGCACUGUUGUAACUAUAUGUUAUAAUUAUGUGGUUUUGUUAGUUUUUUUCGGUCUUGGUCUGUCCUGUGUUUUGUGAUAUCACACCAGAGGAAAUAAUGUAUCAUUUCUUAAUGCACGCAUUACUAAAUGACA